CCUUCGGGCGCCGACGAGUGGCGGACGGGUGAGUAACGCGUAGGAAUCUGCCUUAUAGUGGGGGACAACGUGGGGAAACCCACGCUAAUACCGCAUACGCCCUACGGGGGAAAGGAGGGGAUCUUCGGACCUUUCGCUAUGAGAUGAGCCUGCGUUAGAUUAGCUAGUUGGUAGGGUAAAGGCCCACCAAGGCGACGAUCUAUAGCUGGUCUGAGAGGACGAUCAGCCACACUGGGACUGAGACACGGCCCAGACUCCUACGGGAGGCAGCAGUGGGGAAUAUUGGACAAUGGGCGCAAGCCUGAUCCAGCAAUACCGCGUGUGUGAAGAAGGCCCUAGGGUUGUAAAGCACUUUCAAUUGGGAGGAAAACCUGCCGGUCAAUACCCGGUAGCUUGACAUUACCUUUAGAAGAAGCACCGGCUAACUCCGUGCCAGCAGCCGCGGUAAUACGGAGGGUGCGAGCGUUAAUCGGAAUUACUGGGCGUAAAGCGUGCGUAGGUGGUUCGUUAAGUCAGAUGUGAAAGCCCUGGGCUCAACCUGGGAACUGCAUUUGAAACUGGCGGACUAGAGUUUAGUAGAGGGGAGUGGAAUUUCAGGUGUAGCGGUGAAAUGCGUAGAUAUCUGAAGGAACACCAGUGGCGAAGGCGACUCCCUGGACUAAAGCUGACGCUGAGGUACGAAAGCGUGGGUAGCAAACAGGAUUAGAUACCCUGGUAGUCCACGCCGUAAACGAUGUCGACUAGCCGUUGGUCCUAUAUACAGGAUUAGUGGCGCAGCUAACGCAUUAAGUCGACCGCCUGGGGAGUACGGCCGCAAGGUUAAAACUCAAAUGAAUUGACGGGGGCCCGCACAAGCGGUGGAGCAUGUGGUUUAAUUCGAUGCAACGCGAAGAACCUU
rnacentral:rRNA from 1 species